GGAAAAGUUUUGAUGAGGAUAAGAUGUUUGUAUGACGUUCUUAGAGAGGGAGGCAAAAUGCUGGAAGCUUCCUGUCCGCUCUGCAUAUCAUUACCACCUCUGAACUCUGUUUUUGAACAGACUAAAGUAAAAAACAGCGUAGUCCUGCGUUAAAGGGUGAAUGAAGCUGAAUCACGUAUUGAUUCAGAAAUUAAGGGUGGAACCACGAGUCAACGCUCGUCCCUUUG
rnacentral:ncRNA from 2 species